rnacentral:lncRNA from 1 species
CUGGUAGUGCCCCAGUUUGGCCGCAGCCCAAUGACUGAAGCGAAUAACAAGAUGUUGCUUUCUGUAGCGUGGAAAUAAAUAAACGUUAAAUUUUGGGAUCAAGGACGAAAAAUCCAGGAUCAUGUUAAAAGAAGACGAAACGAAAUGUGUUGGACCAAGAUGAUUAAUGCAGCGGUGAGUGACUCAAAGUGCUAUAGAUCAGAUUUGCAUCGAACGGAACUUAUUUUCAACCAAAAGGUAAAGUGUAACUAGAGCAAAUCACUUGAAAAUAAGGUAUUGGAAUUUUUUUUUAUAAAACCAGCCUAAUUACCGAUGAUGUUAAUAUACAAGGUGUUCAACUUAUUAUAUACAUGUAUAUCUCCCUCAUGUAUUUAUAUAUAUCGAGAUUAAAGUAUAGUCACUAUCUUCAGUAGGAUAUACUCGCGUAGACUAACCCAAGGUUUUAACGUCGAUAUGUAGAGCAUUUGGAAAGGAAUGAACGCCUCAAAAUCAUCAGAAGUUUUCCGUUAACUAGCAUUUUAACAGCAUGGAUUGAAAACCAUCUGUGGGUGAAUGCAUAUACCUAAAAUGAACAAAUAACGUAAUCUAGAAUUUUUUUUUAUUGCUAAUUAAGGUUAUUAUAAAAAAUACACAACUGCUUUCAAAAUAUUUUGAUGCAAUAAUGGAGCAAUAAGAAGAUUAAUUUAGCUGGCUGUUCAUUUAGUUCAUCAUAUAAAUUUGUUCGCUGACAUCAUUUCCAUUUUUUUUUUCUUUCAGCUUAAAAUGCAUUGAUAAAGCAUUCUCCCUCCUGUUAAAUCAAGGGACUUCACGGACACAACAGAUACUGUGAGUUUGAUAUAUUUAUUUAAUAUUUUGUUACAAAUAUCCAUAUAUUUUAUAUUACAUAUUAGCUGAUGCUUUAAGUGUGAAGCAAGUCUAGAGGCUGAGGUCUAUUUUACACAAUAAACAUACACCCAAAUCGACUUUGUUCUAUAACAGGGUGCGUGUACGUGUGUAAUUAUUCAGAUGGCGGGACAAUUGUUAAAACGCCGGCCUGUGUAACUUUAAACUGACUUUAUCAGAAUCCUUGGUCGACGCACACAUCCUUCAUUUUUAUUUACGGCUAACGAAAAUGGAUGCACCGUUUAAUAAUAUCUGGAAGUAAGUAGUAUAAUGCGAUACGAGUGGGAGGGUGAAAAAGAUGACAACUGAAACGUCUACCUUAGGUUAGAGAUGUCAAUGAACGGAGAGAGGGGGAUGCGGUGAAGCUAUCCACUCGGUCGCUUCCGGCUGUGAAGGCGCACCGCGCACUUCCUUACAUAGGUAUGACAUUUCUGAAAAUAUAAAUAGUAUGCUGUGGCAUUCAUCCUUUCCCUUAAGGUGUUCGAGAUGGAAGCAAUUCAAACAGAAAAUCAAAACAAGGGCUUGUACUUAACAAACACACACGCAUUCCUUCUCACUAAGGUUUUAUUAUAUAUAUAUAUAUAUAUAUAUAUACACACACACACAGAUUUGUUACAGAUGUAUUAAGGGGUCUCUUUCUCCCCACCACUCAUACAUCACGCAGAUUUCUGACAAAGGUAUUAGUGUAUAUUUCUCUUACUCUCACACACACAUUAACUUUGGUUUUAGACUGCGGGAAUUGAAAACUAUGCCAGCGAACAAAAUAAUUAUAUGUACCAGAGCAGACCAAGAAACCUAAUGUAACUUCGUAUUACUAAUUAUUAAUUAGAUCUAAGAAGAAACUACCGUUCAAAACAUUCUUGCAACAAGUCAGAUACCCUGUCCAUAUAGAGUGGAUAAAUUAAAACUUAACAGGUUUUAAUUUUUAGCAGAAAAUAGGAAUUUAGCUUGUCAUUCCAUUAAAAAAUGGAAUGAAGAAAAAAAACAAACUAUUUCUAAUUAAAAUAAAUACACAUCCCGGUGUUCAAAGUAUAUCAUAUAUUUAUAAAUUUAUCUCUCUGGUGGUAUAUCUUAGCUUCUGUGUUCACCCACACACUUUUUUUUUUAACCAUAGGUGACUAUAAGUGGUUGCUUAUUGUUAAACGUAGUCGGCAAAUGAGACAAAUAAAAUGAGUGCCAAAUCAGACAUUUCCGAUCUGCACUGUUAAAACAUCUUUUCAGUGGUUGUUUUUCUUUUUUAACAAAAAAAAAAGACAACAAUCUCCCUAAUCUGCAAACGUAUAGCUCAUGCCAUCCAUACAGUACCCACCCCAUCUAUCAUGAUCUACAUCUCUUUCUAUAUAGCUGCUCUGUUGUCCCACUUGAAAGUCAAUGGGCACUUUAUUUUCUUUUUUUUUUUUUAAUUUACUUUUAUUUAUUUAUUCUCUUAUUCUCAGCUUUCUUAUCGAGCCUUCCGAUACCCCCCCCCCCCUAUAUAUCUAUUUAUCUGCCUGUCUUUAUAUCUUUUCUUUCCUUCCUUUCUCUUAGGUCUCUGUCAGAUAUUGUUGACGGACACCUAUUCAUUACACACCGGUCCGCUAUAUAAUGUGUAUGUGAUAUAUAUAUAUAUAUAUAUAUAUAUAUAUAUAUACACACACACACACACACAGACGCAGUGUGCUACGAACACUAUAUAUAUAUAUAAAUAUAUAAUAUGUGUGUAUGUGUAUAUAUAUAUAUAUAUAUAUAUAUGUGUAUAUAUAUAUAUAUAUAUAUGCUAUCUUGGAGAAAGUAAAAAUUAUCUUCACACUGGUACUUUGGAUGUUCGGUCUUAUCUAUCUAUCUAUUAUACACGUACACACAUACAUGUGUGCGCACGCUAAUUUUGCUUUUUUAUAAUGUAAAGAUUGAUAGUAACUUCGAAGUUUUGGGUACAUAGCCGUCAUUAGAUUAAAUAUGGUAGUCUUCUAAAACGUAUUCACUGAUCCUUCAAUUUAAUAUUCGAUUGUUAUAUAUAUAAUAUAUAUGUAUAUAACUUUACAAAAUCAUUACGUUCUUGUAUAUAAUAAUAUUCAUAACAGUGUGUUCGGCCAUUUUUCUUUUCUUCUUUCCUUAACUUUUAGAUAGGAAAAUAAAAUACGAAUAAAAUUAAUUUAAAAAACAAACAAACAAAAGAACGAGCUGAAGUAGAAAAAAAAAUCUUGUGCCAACAGGACACUAACCUAAUUCGACUUUUAAGAAAGAAUAUAGACACAUGCAACAUUGUAGACAACAAAGAAAGAAGAACGAAAAUCAUUCAUAUCAAUUUUGUUCUAAUACUAGAAGUCUUUUUGCAGCAACUGUGUUUUUUUAAUUAAUUUUUUUUUCUAUUUAUUUUGCAGCACCAGAUAAGCCAAAUCCGUAACGUAGGGUUUCGAUUCCCAGCUGCUGAAGUCAUUUAUUUUCACUUCAAUCAAGAAGCUUAAUAAUUUUACCCUUGGCCAAUCACUGCACGAAUGUCAUACAGUUCUCUCACUACACAACUACUAAACUUCUGUAAUUAAUGAAGUUGUGGCUUUUGUAUUUAAAUAAAUCAUAAUGAUAAUUGUUUUAUUUUUUGUCUUUUAAGCACCCACAGAGAGAGAGAUGACUUGAUUUCGAUUUCCGAUCGAACCAUUUCCGAUCGCUUACGUGUCUCAUGGCCUUGGGACAUGAAUAAACACCUUCAAUAAAACCUUUAUUGUGCCUCGGUAAGAAUUAUUAUUAUUAAUUUCUUCCGGCCUUUAUGUUCAGAGUUCAAAUCCCAAUGAGGUCAACUUCGCCUUUCACCCUUUCGGAGUCGGUAAAAGUCUUGGGGCUGGUGUAAGCAACUACCCCUCCCCCUCAAAAUGUCAGGCCUUGUGCCUAUGUAAUAAGAAGGCAUUAUUACUCAGAAUCAUUAGAGUGUGUCAGAAAAUAUACUUUGCAACAUUUUGUUCCGGUUCUUUAGAUUCUGAGUUCAAGUCUCGCCGAGGUUAACUUUGCCUUUCAACCCCUCAAAAUAAAAUAAGUACCAAUCAAAUACUGGAGAUUGAUGUUUAUCAACUAAACACACCUCUACUAUAAACAUCAUUGGCCUUGUACUCCAACUCGGAAACUAUUAUAUUUCGAUUGAGGGCCGUUCAGUGUCUAUGAAACAGAACAAGACAAUAUCUAUUUUAUUUAUUUAUUACAUCUACCCACCCGUCUCUUAUGGGUUAUUAUACACGACACUCCAAAAGACAACCCACACUACUAACAAAACCCGUGUCUGUUAGUCUGCUUUCUUGUUAAUCGAAUGGGAAGGGAGUUCAGCAAAUUAGUAACUUUUUUUUUCCGGCUUGAAAUGGCGAUCUUUUAAAACACUGUUGAAGAGUUUUGGUUCAACAAGGUUGUUUGUUGAUGGGACACUGACAGCGAACCGAAGUUGAUAUGCCCCCAACCCCCAUUCAAAGGAGCCAGUUAUGGGGAGAGAGAAGGAACGGGAGUAACAAAGCGCACACACAACACAUAGGGCGUUUUUUUGUUUGUUACUUUUUUUACUUCCUUAAAAUAUAGGACAAUCUAUAUAAUGCUGUAUAUACAGUUAUUUUUUUUUUUAUUUUACUUUCCUUGAGCAUGAAGUUCUAUAAAUAAACAAACAAAAUAAAAUAAACAGUUAAAAAGGAAGAAAAGAAAGAUCAAAGCAGUUUGCCGCAUGCUUUGAUCUUAUGAUUGACUGCGAGUUUUAACUAAGCUAGCUCAGACCACCGUCUAGCUGCAGCACUCGACAGGCAUUCAGCUAAAUUAAAUUACAGCCGAGUAAUAAUAAAAGCAGUGUUGUGCUUUAGUCUCCACAAUGGUCUUUUAAUGUGGGCGCGCAUACACAUUAAUAAACAUACACUCACACACACACAAUUAUAUUAUAUAUAUAUAUAUAUACACACACACAAAGAAAUAUCUGUAUAGCUUUACACAUACAUUAGUCAUAUACACUUUUAAAACCAGGCAUUAAAUAUCUGGAGUGUGUGUAUAUAUAUAUAUUUUCAUUCCUAGCCACAUAGUUAAGUUUACCCUGUCAGUAUGUAUGUGUGUGUGUGUGUGUGUAUGUAUAUAUAUAUAUAUAUAUAUAUUAAAUAUACACACAUUUCAGACAGGGUAAACUUAACUAUGCCGGUAGAAAUGAUAGGGCUUUAGUAACAGGCUGAUUUCAUAGUACAAGAGUAUCAGAGUACAGCCUGCCAAAGAUCUUGUUUUAUACCAUUGGUUUUUAUUUUAGUUUAUCAACACUUUUUGGAAAAUGUAAAUAAACUUGUAAGGCUUUCACAUAAGAAAACUACUAUGUAUUGGCCGACAAUUUUAAUUAAGAACUAAUCUUGUGUGUCUGAGAGAAUGUGCACUCAUAUACACACACAUAAGGAUCUUGCUUGUUACGACUAGAAGUAUCUCGUUUAGUUUAAGAUCCUUGUCAAUUUAUAAAGAUAUAUUUCCUCUACUCACCAAAAUAAUAAUAAUGAUAAUAAAAAGCCUCUCUUUUGUGCCUUUGCACCAUGUGAGAAUUAGCUGCAGUACAAGAAUGACCUAGCUGUGAAUUAGACAUUACAAAAACCAAGGCAAAAAAAAAAAAAAAGGUUCAAAGAACCAGUUCUUAAUUUGUUCUAGCAACGCUCAUUUCCAACUUGAAUAUGAUGUCGCACAUUUUGAAAGCAAGCAAGAAAGCAGUUGAAUGAAUCAACUUCCAAUACUUGUGUCACUUCAGCUGGAAUGAAAGUCAACGCUGAGCCCAUAAUCCCAUAAUUUGAACUGAGACUGUAAGUAAAUGCUACAAAGCACUUAAUCUGGCAUCUUAGAAUUUCUGCCAGUCAAUCAGUUUAAAUGAAUGCUCCACAUGGCUUCUAGAUCUAAGCUCAUUAACAUGGCCCAAACAACAGUGCCAUGAUUUUUACAUAACAAAAACUAACUUGAAAACGCUAUGGUUAACAUUUAAUUACUGCAUUCUAUCGAGACUAGUUUUUAGUACGACAAUAUAUAUAUGUGUGUAUAGUCGUAUGUAUGUCACUGGAUUCAUUAAGCUGUUAGAUGUAUAUACACUGCUGGUCACAAUGUGCUUUUCCACAUUGUUGUAACUUUCAAAUGAUGCCACCCUACUGGGUAGGCAAGCAGGCCAACAUACCCUCUGAAUGGAACCCCAAUUUAUCAUAGGGUUGUUUAUAGCUGAGAGGGCUGGAGCAAUAGGAAAUUAUUUUUUCAAGAACACAACACACUACUGGUCUGGGAACUGCACAACCUUACGUGAAUGCAAAUUUCUUAACCACUAGGCCAUGUGCCUACACACGCACAAAUGCACCAUAAUAUAUAUGCAUGUGUGUAUUUAUUAAGGUACAACUAAACCUUUCUUUGCGAUGUCCCAGACAGCUUACCUUUGGAGAUCUAAUAACUCUUUUGAAAACAGAAUAAUUUCCAUUUGUCUUUGAUCUUCCACCAAAUGCCGGCUUUUAUUCAAUAGAAACUUAGUGACAAAGCUGAAACCCUAAUUGCUUAUGAAAUUAACUCAAGUACAAGGUUAUAUCCAGCUGGCUGGUUGGUUGAUAUGCUUCAUGGCACACAUUCGCAAUAUCUUAUUCAUACAUGAGCGGCAGAGGGGUAGGAUGGGACUGUUUUACCCAACGAAGCUUAAGUAUAGGAAAUGAUGUCAUACAGUGAAUUAAUGCUAUUGCCAGGAACACGGCAUGUGUGAAUUCAAAGACUCAAGAUUUGCAAACAGUAAUAAUAAUGUUUCCAAUUUUGACACAAGACCAGCAAUUUUAGGUUAUCUUAGUUCAUUAUAGUACUUGACUAGUACUUUAUUUUAUCAAUCCCCACUAGGGUGAAAGACAAACCUGGCCUCUGUUAUUUGAACUCGGAAUGUUAAGAGCCGUAAAAAAUUCCACAAAGUAUCUUGUCUGACAUGCUAAUAAUUCUACCUGAUGGCUGCCUUUAUUAUUGCAAUGAGUUCUGAUUAACUACAAGGGCAGCAAUUUUGUGGUGGUAGGAGUUAGUUGAUCACAUCAGGCCCUAGUAUAUAACUGCUUACUUCAAUGUUAUCAACCCACCCCAUGGAAAUAAAAGCUGACCUCAGCAAGAUUUGAAAUCAGAGUGUAAGGACUUGGAACAAAUACGAGAUGUUCUUUUCUGACGCACUGAUUUUUGCCAGCAAUAAUAAUAAUAAUAAUAAAUUUGGUACAAGUCUAAGCAUUUUAGGAGAAGGACACAGUUGACUGAAAUGACCCUAGAACCAAAUUGUUUGUUUCAUUUAUCAACCUGCAGAAGCAUUGUUACUUUAACAGGAUUUGAAUUCCGAAUAUGCAAGCAUUUAAUUAGACAUUUGCAAAGCAUUUUGUCUAAUGCUCUAUUGGUUCUGUGAAACCCUGUUCAAAAAAUUAUUUCGAACAUUGACAUAACUACAGCAGUUUUGAGGAGAAGAGGUCAGUUGAUUACAUCACUUCCAAUACUUGACUAAUACUUUAUUUUAUUGACUCCUGGAGAGAUGAAAGACGAUGUUGACUCUGACGGGAUUUGAAAUCAAAAUGGAAAGAGUCUAAAAGAAAUACUGCAAGACGCUUUUUUUUUUUUUUUAUAAUUUUACUGAUCUACCACCAGAACAAACAAUUCUACCAAUUCCACAAUCCUAAAUAAUAGUAAUAAGGGUUUCAAAUUUUAAAUAUUUUUUUCAUUGACCCAGAAAGGAUGAAAGGCAAAGUCAACCUCAGCAGAAUUUUAACUCAGAACAUAAAGACCGACGAAAUGCUGCUAAGCAGCAUUUUGCCCAGUGUGCUAACGAUUCUGACAGCUCAUUGCCUUAAUAAUAAUGAUUUCUAACAUGGACCUAUAUAUACAUAUACUUGACUAAACACACACACUCAACAGCAGAACGAUCCCUGCAAUCUAAGAUACUUGUUUUAGUACAGCUUUUAUAGCUGAAUAUCAUUCCUAAUGCCAACUACUCUACAGAGUGUACCUGGUGUUUUUUUUUUUCUCUGUAACACUCGCACUAAUGAGGUUACCAAGUAACUCGUAAGACAAGACAAGAAAAUUCCUUUCGCUAAGUAGGGUUGCUUUGUUUUAUGUAUCUCCGCUGUAGCAAAACAUACCUGUCUGUCCGUCAUGCUUUAGCCUCUCAACAUCUGGCAUAAAGCCACCACCCUCUCUGCUACAACCCUACUUAGUCAAAGGAUUUUUCUUGUCUUACGAGUUACUUGAUAACCUCACUAGUGCCGGUGUCACAAAAAAAAAUACACCAAAUAUACACUCUGUAGAGUAGUUGGCAUUAGCCAUACUAAAACUGUGAGACUCAAUACAAUACUUUGCAACCUAUGCUAGCAUGGAGGAUUAACGCUAAAUGAUAAUGAAAUAUUGUUCCUCUAACAGUAUGCAUUGCCAGUUUAAUGCCAUUGUUGAUUAAUAAUUUAAACCAAAGUUUUUUUAAUUUACCAAUGCUUUUGAAUAUAGUGUUAGGAAUUGUUUCAUAAUCAAGUAUUCUUUUUACACAUUCAGAAACUGCUGACCUAUUUUAUUUGAAUCAACCCAAAUGAAGUAGUUGUCUUAUGACCCAAUAAACAGCUGUCAUUCAUAGCUUUGGUAACAAAUCAUCAUUGUUUUAAUGUUUCCAAGUAAUAUUUCUCCAGGAUCAAAUAUGUUCAACAAGACGGGAAACCAAGGACAUCACUUGUAUGAUGGUGACACCUCAAUACUAUCACAUGAUGUCAAGACAAUACAAUAACACAUAUACACACACAUUUAUAUAUAUACACACACGCACACACACAAAUGAUGAGCUUCUUUCAGUUUCUAUCUACCAAAUUCACUCACAAGGUUUUGGUCAACAAGAGGUUACAGUAGAAGACAUUUGUCCAAGGUGCCACGCAGCAGGGUUGAACCCAGAACCAUGAGGUAAGGAAGCAAACAUCAUACCAUGGAGCCAAUUUCACACGUCCUUAGCGACAUAAAUAUCUCAAUUGUGCAUGAUUUUAUUUAUUUAUAUAUAUAUAAUGUCUCGAGGUUUAAUCAUGUGACUUUAUAGGAUAAGAAUGUCAAUUUAUCAAUUAAACUACAUAGUCUAAGAUCAAUAAUGAAAGACGUGACUAUUCAAUCAACUUGUUGUUAUUGAUCACCACCCUUCCACUGAAAUACAAAUUCAUUGUCGCUUAUUGACAGUGGUAUUUUCUUUUCAUGUAACUUUUCAUAAUUGCUCUUCACAUUGCUAAGGACACACGUGUAACAACAAUUGAGGGGAAAAAACAAAACAGAAAACCUUGAGCUUUUCUUCAUUUGCAUACACGUAUGAAAUAGCUAAAAAAAAAAAUUUGUAGUCGAAUCCUCCCCUUCACCUUAUACAUGAAUAGUAAAUGUUCCUCUUUGCUGCACACAUCAGAUCAAAAGAUAUAUGAGAUUUGAAACGAUAUGCAUAACAGAACUUCCUUUUUAUAAUAAUCAUUAAUUCAAGUUUGCUUAAUUAAAUUGAUAUUAUCUUUGGCAUAAGUAAUAGAUAUGCUUUUUUUUCUUUUUAUUCUUUUUUUUUUCCAUGCAUCAUGCUCACUAUUCAACUAGAUCAUGUGUCUGUACUAUUUCUGUCAAAUUUUUUUAGCUUUGAUGUUGGGUAACUGCUACAGAUUUAUUCUCACACUGUGGCUUGUCUUCUCAAUGAAUAGAUCCACAAAUAAUACACAAUCACACAAACAGUGUCAUACUUAACAAAACCUCAUCUCGUUAGAUUCAGUUUUAGUCGAAUAAUAUAGUUAAGCAAGGACUAUUUAUCUGUCUUCACAUCAAAAAGACCAAAACACGAUCCUCUUGUAUGUCAACUUGUUCCAUGUGCAGAAGUGGGACAUGAGUAAGUCCCUUGCACACGGUUAAGUUCAUUUCUCAUUAUUUAGUUUAUGAUGUAAUUUCAGAUCUUCCCACUCUUAAAUAAAAUAGUCACCCACUUUACUUCUCCUUCAAAAUGUAUUUCUCUGUAGCUGAUGACUGUGAUGUAGAACAUUAAGGUAGGAUAUAGUUGAUCCUCCUAAUCAUACCAUGUCUGAUGGCACACAAGAUGUACAGAUAAAUUGGAUGACUUCCUUAGGUCACAACCAUGGGAUUCCACCUAGAAAGCUUCCUUCCAAGGCACAAGUCCAGGCAAGGUUGUUUGUGGAAGACUAGCAGUCACCCAUGCAUACCAGCCUUCCCUCUCCACACCAUCAAUGUUUUCCAAAGGAAAGACUGGCUGAUACAGUUUGGCACCCGAGAUGUUGCAACACAUUUUUACAGCUGAGUGAACUGGAGCAACACACAGUCCAGUCUGGGAAUUGAAUUCUCUACCUCAUGAUUGUAUGCCUGAUGCUCUAACCACUGAGCCAUGUACCUUUACAUAGACAUAUUAGACACACUUCAAUUUCAGCAGUGCAUAUUCAGAAAAAAAUACCUUAGAACAUUAAAGCAAUCCAGCUGAACAUUACAAAAGUACCUUAACUAUAACAGAAAACAAUACAGCUGAAGAGACUGUCUGGAUUAAAAUUAGCGUAUACUAGUGAGUUUCAAGGACUAAAUUAACUUAUAGAAAGCUCAACUUCACAAAUAGUCUUUGGGGUGUUCUUGAGAGAAUUCUUAUAGGAAAGUGCAUCUUAUAUCAUCAUCAUCAUCGUCGUUUAACGUCCACUUUCCAUGCUGGCAUGGGUUGGACGAUUUGACUGAGGACUGGCGAACCAGAUGGCUGCACCAGGCUCUAAUCUUAUAUGCCAUCAAAUAAUGGUACAUACAGUCAUGUGAUCAUUCAAAGUCUAAUAAUGUGCCUCCAAAGUAUUGGUUUAAAACAAAAAUAUAUAGUUGCAAGAAGUUGUUUACAUCUGCAACACAAACUUUGUAGGAAAAAAAAAAAACGAAGCUUUUCUUCAUCCAACAUGUUAAAAAGCACUGAUUGUCGGUUUGUAUUACAUGAUAAUGUAAGCAUAGUAGACAUGUAAAUUGUGUGAAAUACAUGCAACACCAUAAAGAAAGUUAUAUAGGGUUUACACAAAACCUCGUCAUUUGUACAGGAAUCACUGUAUUAGACUUUGGAUAAGCACAUUAACAGUAUGUAUAAAAUAUGGAUGAUGAACAAUAUUCUCUGCUCAGCACUGCUUUAGGAGUUAUGUGAUAGCACAAACUUGGAAAAAUGAGUUUAAUACUCAAGGAAUUUAUUUUGAGGUAGCUGCAAUAGAUAAACAUCAGAAAGGGGCUAAUUCUAUUUAUGGGAGCGGGGAUUUUUGUGAAAUCUAUUAUACAUUGAGGACAAAUUAACUUAAGCAAGUACAAAGGACUGACUGACUUAAUAUUCUCCAUUUCAUCUCUCAAAAAAAAGAAAAAAACUAUUAUAUCAAUAUAGGAUAAAAAUACAAAAUUUCAAAUGAUGAAAACAGCAUACUACUACUACUCCCCCUCAUCAUCAUCAUCAUCACAAUGUCCACUUUUUCAUGCUUGCAUGAGCCAGGCAGACUGUUUAUAGUUGAAUGCCUUUCCUAUCACUAACCCUCACCUUUUCCUAGUCAGGUUAAUUCUUCCCUAUAGCUGGACUUGAAACAAACACCACUUCAUACACACACCUACACUGUCUACCAUAUUUAGCUUGGGGCUAUAGUAGAAGACAUAUGCCCAGGGUGCAGUGAGAGUGGGUAGAAAGUGAAUUUAUUAUUCACACAGCCAUACCAACUGUUUGGGAAAAAAUUUGAAUGUGUUUGUAAAGUCAGAGGCUUGAAUGAAUAAUUGGAAGUAUUUUCUUUCAAGAUCCUCUGCAAUCACCUUUUGAUGUGUGUUCUAACAUUUUCAAUAUUUAGAAACAGUACCUGUUCAACACACUUUCUCUGCUACACCUACAGGCAUCCACAAUCAUGGACCUCCAUACCAAAGUCUGAAGAUGUGAUGUUUCUUGAUAAAGAUACAGCAAGUUUUCUGUUGUCUUCUAACUGGUUUAUUCAUAAUUUACUCUGCUAAUCUCCUACUCUUCUGAGCUUUUCCCUUGUGGCAUAGGGCCUAUUUAACUAGAGUAGUAGGGAAAGUAGGGGGGGGGGGUAAUAUAAAAGCACGUUUACACUCCCGUGGGCCCAAAUGAUACCUAUUUCAAGGCCAACCCUCUGAGUCCUGUGUGCUUUGGUCACAAGACCAUCUGACAUAUAACUGGGACCCUUGACAGAUACUAUCACCCUAAGCCAGAGUGAACCUGAGAGCUGCAGUGACUAAGGGGUAUAUUCACACACUGUAGACUUCCUGAACUCCCACGCUGGUGGCUCACCACUGGAUGCAAGAUAUACGCUACAAUAUAUACUCAAGAUAUAUACUACAAUCUCUCUGCUGGUGUUGUGUUUAAACAUCUAACAAAUAGUUUCUUACAUAUUGCCGCUAACAUCUCUGAAGUUGUCAGUUCGUAUUGACUUUCAUAAAAUGAUUUUGAUGUCUUGAUAAAGCUUAACAGGUUGAUUAAACAAUAUAUAAGUUUACUGAAUAUUUUCUGAAAUGAUCAAAGUCUCAAUAACUCGAAACUCCAUGCAACGUUUAUAGGUAUUUAUUUAUUUAUUAUUUGUGCAUUACAUUUCCAUACAUAUGCAUGUGUGUGUACAGAUAUAUAUAUAUAUAUACACACACAUGCAUACAACUCGGGGAGGAAGGUUUAAUACCUUUCUCUUUGAAGUUAUUAUUAUUAAAAAGGCAGUGAGCUGGCAGAAUUGUUCACACAUCAAACAAAAUGCUAGCAGCAUUUCAUCUGCCGCUUUACAUACUGUGCUUGAGUCCUACUGGGGUCAACAUUACCUGUCUUCCUUUCUGGGUCAUUAAACUAAGGUGCCAGCAGCACCGUCUGCAGUGGCUUGGUCAUGUACAUCGCAUGCCAGAUGGGAGGAUCCCAAAAGACCCCUGGUAUGGGGAAUUGGCCACCUGCACAAGAGCACAAAGAUGACCUCCUUUUUGUUUCAAGGACGUUUGCAAGAGAGAUAUGAAGUUGCUUGAUCUAGGUGUUCUGAGUUGGGAGGAAGUUGCAAAUGAUUGCUCAUGGUGGAGACAAAUACUGCAAAAGAGGAUGAAGCAAUGGGAAGAGAAACAGAAACUUGCCACCAAAGAAAAGUGUACUCAAUGAAAGGAAAAGCUAGUAGCACCGGUACAGAACUACUUCAAAUGCAGUCGCUGUAUGCACGACUGCCACUCCAGAGUGGGCCUUUACAGCCACAGCAGGCGCUACACCACCAUCAGCAGCUGACACAAUUUCUCUGGGUGGAGAUCCAUGGUCUCUCAAGACUGAUGGAUGCCUACUACUAAAAUAAGGUAGCUGUCCAGUACUGCAUCUGCUGUAAUUGAAUUGCCAUCUCCCUUCAAAAUUGCUAACCUUCUGACAAAAUUUGAAAUAAUAAUUAUUUUUAUUAUUAAAAAGGCAAACUGGCAGAAUUAUUACUAAACUAGACAAAAUACUUAGUGGUAUGUCUUCUGGCUUAUUUUACAUUCUGAUUUCAAAUUCCACCUUUGCAUACUUUCUGCAUCAAUAAAUAAAUACCAAUUGAGCCCACGCCAAUAUAAUCAACUUAUCCCUACCCCUAAAAUUGCUUGCAUUGUGCCAAAAUUUGAUGCCAUUAUUAUUAUUAUUAUUAUUAAGCUAGCGUAGCUUUUCUAACUGCUGUUAAUGUCAAUGUCCAGCAAUUAAUGAAAAUUUAUUCAAUAUUGCAGUCUCCUUUUAAAUUCGUGCCAAAGCAACAUGAUUCUAAUUCUUGUAAUAAACUAAACAAAGAGUCCACAGAUUUAAAUCACAUAACCAAUUCCUCAUUUAUGAUUCACAUAUUUCUUCGUUAAAUUUAUUGAAUCAUCUGAGUUUUGUUUUUCUUUUUAAUUUUUAUACCUAUGUAUAACAUUUAAUGUUGUAUAUACUGAAUUACUAGAAAGCAUAGUUAUUUAGUAGCAAUUUAGCAAUAAACGAUAGUAUCUUAGUAAAACAACCAGUAACUGAGAAGCACCCUUAAAAAGGUGGGGAGGGGCAUGUCUGAGUGAUCUUUGAAAAUUACAUGGUUAAUGUGUUGGUAGCUCUUCAUGUGUGAAACCAUAAAAAGAAUGAGGUCUUUAGAAAAUAUUUAUAUGCCAAGUUAAUCAAACCACUUUUUUGUACUAAGAAUAAACUUCAAAGAGUUUUUUCUUUUUUUUAAAAAAAAACAACUGAAGUUUUCCGACACAGCAAAUCUAUUUAAUGAAAGAAGGGUAUUAUCUGGUUAAAAAAUUUUUUUUUUAAUUUUAAAUUUCCUCUUUUUUUUUUUUACUCUUGGCAGGUUUUAUAUAUAGAUGAAUGAUUAUUUUUUUGCGUGCAUCAGCAUGGCCGCAGCUCUGAGCCGAAACUACAGAAAAAAAAAACAUAUAUAUAUAUAUAUAUAUAUAUAUAUAUAUGUCCUGUUUGAAGAUAAAAAAAAGCAUAGUAAAAUGGAAUGUCUACUGCACUAUGGCAGGUUUUAUAUAAAUGGAAAUUUUAGUUUUGCAUAACUUAAGAAGUGAUAUAUAUAUACAUAUAUAUAUAUAUAUAUAUAUAUAUGAAGAUAAAAAAAAAUAAAUACUUUAUAAAUUUAUUUCAUCAUCAUCACUUAAUGUCCUUAUUCCUAUGCUGCCAUACAUUAGACAGUUUAAUAGGAUCCGAUGGGUCCAUGAACUGAAAUACACAGGAGCUCAGCACAGUUAUCUGGCCUGUCAUGUCCUGUCGAACUGUCCAACAUGGGCAUUAAAUGAUGAUGAUGACGAUCACUUUUACUUGCUCCAGUCAUUUGACUGCAGCCUUGAAGAGUUUUGGUCAAACACACCAAACCCAGUUUUUGUUUGUUUGUUUAUUUGUAAAUUUCGUACUUAUUAUAUUAGUCUCUUUUAGCAAACUGUUAAGGUAUUAGGAUGUAAGCAAGCCAACACCAGUUUCAAGUGGUGAAAUGGGCAAACACACACAUAGUUAAGAUGUAUAUACACUACAGGCUUCCACACAUUUUCCGUCUACCAAAUUCACUCACAAUGUAUUAGAAAGGCUAAGGUUGUAGUAGAAGACACUUGUCCAUGACGAUGGUUAAAUAAGUAAAAAAAAUAAUAAAUAAAUAAAGCACAGAACUAACCAAUAUUUCUACUGCACUAUGUGCACUAAACAUAAAUUAUGAGUCAAGAUGUAAUGUACCACUGCUUACUUUAAAAACGAAAACAACAAAACUGUAAAUCUAACUGGCUUGGUGCAACAACAUUAUUAUAACAACUAACUACAGACUAAAGCAGCUAUAGUAGAAAAAAGAAAAUAAUAAUGAUGAUAAUAAUAAUAAUAAUAAUAAAAGCAAAAUAAAAAUCGACGAAUGUGUCUAGUUUAAGUACGGUACAUAAUAGAUUUUUCACUUCAUUGUUUCAUUGAUCUGAGGGCAUUGAUUUGAUGAUGCCGCCUGCUUUUCAUGUUAAACACAAGUGAGAUGAUAUUUCCAAUGACUAACACAUGAAAUCAGUACAUCUGUUGCUUAGAACCAAACAGAGGGAGAGGGGAGAAAAAAAAAAGAAAAUAUAUGUGUAUAAAAAGUAAAUAAAUAAAUAAAUUCAAAUCCUUGCCUCUUUUCAAAAUUGCUUAACUAUUAUAACUACAUCUAUCACUUGCUGCUUACAAAUAUUGCUUAACUAUACUUAAUAUCCUCUUGAAUUUUAUUGGUUAUAUUGCAAAUGACUCACAAUGAACAAAAACAAUAACAAAAAACAAAAUGAUAAAAAAUCAAUCAGGAAAAAUAUAUUUUAAGUUCAAUCAAUAUAACAGAGAAUUAUUUUCAUCAUCAAAGAGAAAUUUCAUAUAAAAGGUUUAUUUUCUGAUUAAAAAGAAAAAAAAAACAAGGAAAGAAAUAAUUCAACUAUAUAGGGGAAAUCCGAAAGAGAAAAAAAUUCUUGAAUCUCAGUGAGUUAUUUACCCAAAGGCAGAAGAAAUUUCCUGCCUGCUGGCAGUCUCCCAAUAUUUGGAAUACCACCAUUUUCACCAGCCCUACUUAGUCAAGGGGAUUUUUUUUCCUUCUCCUGUUCUUUCAUCUCGCAAGUUACUUGGUAACUUCACUAGUGCUGGUGGUAUGAAAAAACUACACCCAAUACACAGUGUAAAGUGGUUGACAUUCAGUAGAGCAUCCAGCCAUAGAAGCCAUGCCAAAGCUGACUGACAUUCGAUCCUGACACAGCCCUGCAGUUUGCCAGUUCCAAUCAAACCAUCUAACCCAUGCCAGCAUGGAAAAAACUGACGUUAAUUAAUGAUCGUGAUCAUAUCAGUCAGCCUUUACACCAACAUCAUUGAUUUAAUAUUGACCAUUCAAGCAUAGAAAAAUCAAACAAUAUUUGAGGAGGUAGGUUUUAUACAUCUGAAUGCUCUUCCCUGCGCAAAUCUUUGUUUCUAAACAAGAUAAAUAUUUCCUUUAGACCUUUGAACGAACAAACAGCACAACAAUCAGAUAUGGUUUCAUAGAAAACUGCAAAUAAGAGACUGAUUGCAUGACGGUGACAUUUCUUUACAACGAACAUACAAUGUCAAGAAGACAGACACAAACUCAUUCACAUGCACACGUACAUACAUUUAUAUAUAUAACAUACAUAUUUGAUGGGCUUCUUUCAAAUUUCAUCUACCAAACCCACUCACAAAGCUUUGGUCGUGGCUAGGGGUAGGCAAUAGGGAAAACAUUAGCCUAAAGUGCCAUGCAUUGGGACUGAAACCCAAACCAAAUAGCUGUGAAAUGAACUUCAUAACCCUACAGCUAUGCUUACACCUAUCCAUGCCAGCUUAAUACCAAAUACAGAAAAAGUUGUAGACCAAGUUAAAUAAAUACAUGGCUGUAAAAGUCUAACCUCAACUAUGAUACUUAAAGUCUGAUUAUUCAACAGAAGCUAAUAUUAUGUUCAUCUUAUAUAUGAAGGCUCUUCUUAGGGCAACUGAUUUUGAUAGUUGAAUAAGCAGGCCGACUUUAUUUUUUCUCGUUUGUUUUAAUGCCUGUUUUUUCCAUGCUAGUAAAGGUUAAGCUAAGAACUUUUUCAAGCAGGAUUUUACAGCUGGAUUCUCUUUUUGUUGCCAACCCUUACUUGUUAUUCAAGUAACGUGUUAUUAUUUUGUUCCACCCAGGUCUUCAAAAGCACAGAGUUAUUGGUCAUAAUGUCAAAAAAGAAUAUUAACAUCUUGUCACUGUUUCACUCAGUUAGUGACAACAGUGGAAUAUAAAAACACACGGAUAUACAUAUGUAUGUGUGGUAAGAUGUCCCAAUUACAAGGUUUUGAGUUCAACUCCAUUGUAUGGCACCUUAGCCAAUUGUCUUCUGCAAGUGAAUUUAGUAGACAGAAACUGAAAGAAGCCUGUCCUGUAUUUAUAUAUAUAUGUAUAUAUGUGUAUGUUCUUGCUUUCAGUUGUGAGUGUCACUUAACAUCUGGUCAUGGGGAAAUAUCUUACUUGGAAACAGAUGAGGGUUGGCAAUAGGAAGUGCAUCCAGCUGUAGAAAAUCCACCCUUAAUAAAACUUUUCUCCAAUCCAUGCAAGCAGGGAAAAGAUGAACACUAAAUGAUGAUGUGUUACAUGCUACCCGCUAAGGUAAUUAUUACUCAGUUUAAUAAAUCUAGUUAAUGGUACUGCACUGAUUUAUCUUUUGUCUAACGCAGAAAAUGGAACAUUAGUUGCCUUUGGCAGAGUCUCUGGCUUGAAGAUACCUACCUCCCUCCCUCCAUCCUAUCAGUAUUGGAAGCCUUGUAAAGAGUCAUGAGUACCCUUUUCCCUGCUGAUUAUUAGAUUAAAAAUAAGCAAAAAACUUUUUCAUGUGGUGGUUGUUGCUUAGCCCCACCUUCAUCAGACUUAUGAUCAAAGACAUUCCAGUCAUGACCAUCCAGUUUUUUCAGGCAUGGCUUAUAUCAGACUACAUAUAAAUUUAUCAACUGCUAUUUCCAGUAAACAUUGAUGCCUUGUUGUACCACUACUCCCUCUCUCUCUAUCUCUGUAUGUAUAUAUAUAUGCAUAUAUGGGUACAGGACGUCACCAACUGUGUAUACCUUCAGUAUUCGAGUACUAUUUUUUUCCCACUCUGUUUUGCAUUUAUGUGCUUACAUGUGUAUGUAUGUGGCCUGUAUGGUAAGUAGCUCGCUCAGCAACCACAUGGUUCAGGGUUCAGUCCCACUGCAUGGCACCUUGGGCAAGUGUCUUCUACUAUAGCCUCAGGCUGACCAAAGCCUUGUGAGUGGAUUUGGUAGACGGAAACUGAAAGAAGCCCAUCGUGUAUAUAUAUGUGUGUGUGUAUGUUUGUCUACUCCAACAACUGAUGCUGAUGUGUUUACAUCCCCAUAACGAAGCAGUUUGGCAAAAGGGACCUGCAAAGAAUAAGUCUUAGGGUUGAUUUACUCGACUAAAGGCAGUAUUCCAGCAUGGCCACAGUCAAGUGACUGAAACAAAAGAAAAAAGUAUAUAUAUAUAUAUAUAUAUAUGCCUUUGUCCCCUCUUUUAUUUUGUUUAUUUUAUUAGAAAACUAGAAAUGAUUUGAGAAGAGACAUACCCACUCUUUCUGACUGAGCGACCAACAUAUACUUUCCCCAUUGGCUUCAAAUCAGUCUUGUUAAUUUCAUAGGAACUUGUUGACCCUAAAAGUUACCGUUAGUGCAGAAUAAUUAGGAUAUACAACAAUGUAGCAGCAAUGAGGGAGGCAUCCAGUUUGACUUUCUAGUUUGUCUGGGCUCUCUGUGCUGCCCUGUCAUUAAAUAUUUCACAAAGAUUUCAUGUUCGACAUAGGUGCAAUGGCUUUUCUAAAUUUUUAUAAAUAUCUUUCUUUUAUCUCUUUUGACUUGUUUCAGUCAUUAGACUGCAGCCAUGCUGGGGCACCCACCUUGAGUCUGCUGCCCUAACCACUGGGCCAUUGCGCCUCCACAGCAAUAAUAAUAAUAAUCCUUUCUACUAUAGGCACAAGGCCUGAAAUUUUGUGGGAGGGGGCUAGUUGAUUACAUUGACCCCAGUAUUUCACUGGUACUUAUUUUAUCGAGCCCCAAAAGGAUGAAAGACAGUGGAAUUUGAACUAAGAAAAUAAAGACGGACAAAAUACUGCUAAUCAUUUCUAUAAUAGGCACAAGGCCUAUAAAGAGCUGGAGGAAGUGUUGCUAAGCAUUUUGUCUAAAAUGCUAAUGAUUCAGCCAGCUCAACUCUUUAAUGAUAAUAACGAUUCUUUCAAAUUUUGGCAAAAGGCCAGUAAUAUUAGCAGGAGUGUGUUUUUCAAUUACAUUGACCUCAAAAGGAUGAAAGGUAGAGCCUGACCUCAGUGAUAUUUGAACACUGCACAUAAAGAGCUGGUGGAAAACACUGCUAAGCAUUUUGUCCGACAUGCUAAUGAUUCUGCCAGCUCGCCACUACCAUAAUAAUAAUAAUAAUAAUAAUAAUAAUAAUAAUAGUAAUAAUAUUUACUGAGUGUAUAAUAACAAUAAUAAUUAUAUCAUAUAACAAUCUGACUUUCAUGAAAGGUUUCCUGGAAAUACAAUGUAAAGUAAAUACUUUAUUAAUAAGUGGUUGUAGCGUGUGAAUUUCUUUCAUUUGCUCUACAAGAGAGUGGGGCAGGGUUGGGAGCUGAAACUAAAUAAUUUUUCUUUUUAUGUUUUGGUCAUUGGACUGUGACCAUGCUGGGGCACUCUAUCUUGAAGGGGCUUAGUUGAACAAAUUGACCUCAGUACUUAUGUUUUUGGCUUGUUAUUUUUAAGUCUAGUAUGUCAUCAGUGUCCUUUGCUGAACUGCUAAAUUACAGGGACAUAAACAAACCAACAUCUGUUGCAAAAUGGAAGUGGAGGAGGCAGAGAGACAAACAAUUCACUGCAGCUCUUUACUCUGCAUCCUUCAACCAAAUUCACUCACAACUUAUUGGUCAGGCUGGGGCUAGAAAAGGACACUCGCUCAAGGCGCCACACCGUGGGAAUGAACCCAAGACUAUGUGAACUGAUUUCCUACACAACCAUGCCCGUGCCUAUAUAUUUAAAUCGACACUACUAUUUCUGCCCUUACAUCACCUAACAAUGGUUUCUGAUCUCAGCACAUGGUAAUUUUGAAGGGUGGGGCUAGUUGAUUCCAUUAACCCCCAGUACUUGAUAGAUACUUUAUUUCAUUGGCCCUUGAAGGAUGCAAGACAAAAUCAACCCUGACAGAAUCUGAAGACAGAAUGUAGUACAGCAAAGAAUUUCUUCCAAUGAUCUAACAAUUCUGCCAGUUCAUUACUUUCUAAUAAUUCUUGCUUCUAUAAGCAAAAAGUCCUGAAAUUUGGGGAGACAGGGAUAAGUUGAUUGCAUCAACCCCAGUGCUCAACUGGUGCUUAUUUUAUCAAUCCUACACCUAACCAAAAGGAUGAAAGCCAAAGUUGACUUGGGUGGAAUUUGAUCUCAGAACAUAGAGUCAACAGAAAUGCUGUAACAAUUGUCAAGCUCACAACCUAAUAAUGGUUUCAAAUUUUGGUGCAAGGUCAGCAAGUUGGUGAUGGUGGGGGGAAUAAGUUGAUUAUAUCAACCCCAGUGUUCAACUGGUACUCAUUUUAUUGACCCCCAAAAGGAUGAAAGGUAAAGUCCACCUCGACUGAAUCGAAUCUGAACUGAGAACGUGAAGACGGAUGGGUGAAAUAUGGCUAAGCAUUUUCCAACAUGGUGGAACUGAACCUGAAACCAUGGAAGGGGGUUGGGAAGCAAACUUCCUAACCACACAGCCAUGCCUGUGCCUACACACAGACACACACACAAACAGAUGUGUACAUACAUGUACAUUCAUCUGCACACUCAAAGGGAUUGUACUUCAUUCUUUUCAGUUUUUUUUUUCUUUUUUGAAAGAUCAGUUGAAAAGUGAGUAGGGGUUACUUGUACUUUUUUCAUGUCAUAUACAUACAUACAUAUAUAUAUAUAUAUAUACACACACACACGGAUACAUAUGUGUGUGUGUGUGUGUGUGUGUGUGUAUAUAUGUUCAAUGUUGAUGAGUCAGUCAUGAAUACAUAAUUCACACACACUCUAGAUAUAAUCGCUGAAAGAAAUCAAAGGAAUGUAUCUCGCCGGCUGUGUGUUGUCAGGAUUUUAACAGGUUUUUUUCAUCUUUGCUUUGUAUUUUUUUUUUUACAUAAGCAGUCUGCUCACUCUCACAGUAGUCAUUAGCAUAUCACAAAACGUUUUUUUUUUCCAGCUAAUUGACUUGUUACAAUGCCGCCUGCCUGCACUUGCUCUGAACAAAGGUGCAAUGGUUCAAUCCCUAUUACAUGACUCUUGGUCCCCCGAGUCCUAGCACUCAUAGAGCUGGUUUCCUGAUUUCCUUGGUGUAUAACUGACCGAGAUCACAACAUUUGCCCCCACCCCAACUAAAUGGGGCACCAGUCUGUUGCAGGGCUAUUCAUUUAUGGCUGAGUGGACUGGGGUAAUGUGAAUUUAAAGUGUUUUGCUCAAAAACACAAUGCACCACCUGGUCCAGGAGUCAAACCCAGGAACUUGCAAUCAUGAGUGCAACACAUUAAUUGCUAGGUCACAUGCCUUUACAUGACAUGCAUAAUAAUGCUUAAUUCUCUUUGACCUUAUACAUCGAGCAUGGAGAGGGGAGGCUGAUAUGCAUGUGUGACUGCUGAUCUUCCAUAAACUACCUUUCUCGGACUAGUGCCUCGGAGGGUAACUUUUUAGGUGCAAUCCCAUGAUCAUUCAUGACCAAAGGGGUCACCCAAAGGAGAUAUUUUAGAUACUGUAUUACAUACUGUUGUACUGAUGACUGAUUGACUCUGAAAGGAUGCAAGACAAAGUUGACCCUGAUAGAAUUUGAAGACAGAGUAUAAUAUAUAAGCAUGUCUUCCACUGACCUAACACUUCUGCUUGCUCUUUAAUUUCUAAUAAUUCUUUCUACUAUAGGCACAAGUCCUGAAUUUUGUGGGGAAUGAGGUAAGUUGAUCACACCAACCCUAGCACUCAACUCAUGCCUAUUUUAUCAAUCCUGCACCCCAUAGUGGGGCCCUGGUUUGGAUGAGGAGGAUGAAACCUCUUAGUUACUAUUGUUUCCAGGGCAACUCUGACACAGGUAAUAACACCUAUCAGGAUCCCAGCAAUGGGCUAAUUAGCAUGUCAUGGAAUUGCUUCCUAGAAAAAGGUCACUCACAGAUAACCCAAAGGACCCAGAGUAGAUGAGGCCCCUUAGCUGCUUAGAUUUAGCUCUUUAGCUACUGAUCAUCUAAGAGAAGGGAACUCCAUACAAUUUCUACAUCCUGAUAACUACUGGGUUCAUACCACUUGUUACACCAGACCAAUACAUGUUUGAAGAAGAGAGUAGGAAUGGCUCAGCACAAAUAAUACCCACUAUAAGAUUAUGCAUCUGGUAGGUUGUUCAGCAAACCAAGACACCACAAUGUUGAGUUGAAAUUCUCCCACCAGCCAAAACUCGUAAUAGAUCUCUGUUCCUAAAUCCAUGUGUAAUGUCACUUAACUAUUGAAUAUUGUGAAAGCUGGGACCAGUUCCAGUAAACAACUCUUACAAAGGGGUUGAUGAACACCUCUUAUUCUUCAAGAGCAGGGUUGUGUCUGAAUCCCUGAAGAUGAGCACCACCUAAAACAGUUUUAGUUGAACAAAUCAACCGUCUAGUGGUUAGGCUGUUGCACUCACAAUUGCUGACAGGGUGGCACAUUGUGUUUUGAACAAAACACUUUAUUUCACAUUGCUUCAGUCCCCCUUUGAUUGGGGGUGGGGGAAUGUUGGCCUGCUUACCUAACCAAUGGGGUGGUGUCAUUUGAAGGCUAAAACAAUGCAAAAGCACAUUGUGACCAGCGAUGUGUAACAAUAUCUGAUAGCCUGGUUGGUCACAUAAUAUAUACAUGAACCUUGUACUUAUUCUAUAAGUCUCUUUUGCCUAACUGCUAAGUUACGGGAAGAUAACUGAACCAACACCUGUUGUCAAGUGGUGGGUGUGACAGACAGACAGAAAGGCUUACACACACAUACAAACCGGGCUUCUUUCUGUUUCUGUCAACCAAAUCUUCUCACAACGCUUUGGUCAGCCUGGGGCUAUAGAAGACACUUGGCCAAGAUGCCACAUAGUGGGACUGAACCCAAAAUGAAGUUGUUUGGAAGCAAACUUCUUAACCACAUAGCUAUGUCUGCAUCUACCUUCAUCAAAAUUAUAUUUUUUCCAUUUCUUUUUCUCUCUCUCUCUCUCUCUCUCUAUUUUCAUUGUGACACCAAUGUUCUGGAAGAUAGUCAAAGCUGAAAAACAUCAAUUUUUCUUUGUAUGGCUAAUUCCAAAGAACCAGUAUUUGUUACAGCUGUAAAUCAUGCUGUCUUCAUUUUUAAAUCACUUCAUACAAUAACCAAUUAUUGUAAACUAGAGUUUUGUAAUGUAAUAUCUUUGAUAGUCAAAUAAAAUCUCACUCUCUCUCUCUAUAUAUAUCAUCAUUUAGCAUGUUUACCAUGCUGGCAUGGGUUAGACAGUUUAACUGGAACUGGUAAGCUGUUCCAGACUCCAGUCUGAUUUCGGAUUGGUUUCUACAGCUGGAUGCCCUUCAUAUAUAUGUGUGUGUGUGUGUGUGUGUGAAGGUAUGUGGCCCAGUGGUUAGGCUGUUGCACUUACAAUUGCUAGAUUGUGGGGUCAAUUCCCUGAUUGGGUGAUGCGUUGUAUUCUUGGGCAAAACACUUCAUUUCACGUUGCUCCAGUCCCCCUUUUAAUCAGGUGAGAUUUUCCCCCUAGCCAGUGGGGUGGUGUCAUUUGAACGCUAAAACAAUGCAAAACACAUUGUGACCAGCAAUGUGUAACAACAUCUGAGAGCCUGGUGCGAUUCCUAAUUGCUCCUUAUUAAUUCAGUACUGGAAUUUUAAUGUUUUACACUGUUUCUUUAACAAGCUUUUUAUUCCCUUCUCUGCAUACAGGUCAUUAUUUAAAAAUAAGAAAAAAAAAAAUGUUAUUAAAAAGAGAAAUGUUUAGCACCCCCAUAGCCACCCACCUCAAUGUGAUUAGGCUAAAGGUGUUUUAGUCUUAACCAUCUUGUUUUUUCUUUUUCUUUUUCAGGCGAAGCAGACAGCUGAGAACAUUGAUAUUAGUAUGAUCAAGUUAGAUCUUGAAUGAAUAUCUGGUCUUUGAGUGUAUGGGGCCUGCAGGCUGCUAGAGCUGCAAUUUGAACUGAAAACAGUUAUACAGUGUUCUUAAUCCUGUGUCUAUUACUGAAAAUUGUGUAUUUGCCAGGAGGACAACAGUACAGUACCAAUGUGAUGUGAAUCAUAAACCUUUUGUUCAACAGAUCCAGUACCCUAAUGAUCUGUAAAGCCCUAAUUUCUUAUGUUAUGAGGUUGGUGAGAUAAACCUUCCAUUUGGAGAGGAUGCAAGUUUAAGAUCUCUUAUAACAGCUGGAGCAAUAUUGAGUAAAGUACUCCUUCAUGCCACCCUGAAGAGAAUUUGAACUUGUAACCUAUUCACUUGCAACAUCUCACCUCUAACCCUAAUGACUCGGCAAGAUAGAAGACUACGACAGUUACAUUAUCUUUGAUCUUCCACUCAAUAGAAAUAAUCCAAGAUUCAACGACGUGAUUUCACCAGCUGCGAGUCUCUUCAAAGAAAAUAGAUUCUUCAAAUAAAUAUAUAAAUUUAUA